UCCCCCGGAGAGGUCGCUGCGCAGCUCCCAGCGGCCGGGGCCAGCCGCCACUGAGCCGACGGAGGCCACGCAGCGCCACAUGAGGACCGACCCGCGGGACUGCCCUCCUGUUCCUGAUGCAGUGCGUGCAGGUUGACCUGAAGCUGCGGGUGGAGAAGCUGAACGUCACCAUGGUGCCUGGAGUCGCCAGGGCGGGCGAGGGGCCUGGGCUGCCGUGCGAGUCCAAGGCAGAUCAGGAGGAGCGGGUCCUGGCCGUGCUGGGCAUCGUGGGCACUGUCCUGAACCUGCUCGUCAUCGUCUUCGUGUACAUCUAUACUACCCUCUAGCCCCCCACCCCGGCAGGGGCCCGGGCCGCAGGGAUGGCUGUGGAGUGGGACCAGCGGCCAGGAGUGCCGAGGCCGGGACAGAGCUGGACCGGCUGUGCCUGGGGGCUUCUGCCUCGGCUGCCAUGGCCGCACCUCCCGCAGGAGCCUGCUAGCAAGACACGCUCCACCGGGGCCGCCUGCUGCUGGGACCGUGCUGUGCUCCUCCGGCAGGCGGAAGUGGGCAGGCUGCCCUGCACAAGCCCCGUGGCCCUCUGCAGGGGAGGAGGUGAGGCCGGGUGGGCAGGGAGGCUCC